rnacentral:rRNA from 1 species
CUACAAUCGAUAAUCCACGCUCGACCUCACCCGCCUUUGCAACAACAGUCUAUAUACCUCCGUCGCCAGCUCGCCUGAAAACAGAAAAAUAGCGUGUAUAACAGCCCGCCACUAAUACGACAGGUCAAGGUGUAACUUAUAGGCCGGGCAGCGAUGGGCUACAUUUCUUAACAUAAGAAACACCGACCCCGCCAUGAAACCUGCGCAAAAAGGUGGAUUUAGCAGUAAGCCAGGCAAGAAAAGCCUGCCUGAAAUAUGCCCUGAA